rnacentral:rRNA from 1 species
CAAUAAGCGGAGGAAAAGAAACCAACAGGGAUUGCCCUAGUAACGGCGAGUGAAGCGGCAACAGCUCAAAUUUGAAAUCUGGCCCCCUCCGGGGUCCGAGUUGUAAUUUGCAGAAGAGUCUUCGGGUGUGGCCCCGGUCUAAGUCCCUUGGCACAGGACGUCAUAGAGGGUGAGAACCCCGUAUGUGACCGGGCGCCUACGCCCAUGUGAAGCUCUUUCAACGAGUCGAGUUGUUUGGGAAUGCAGCUCAAAAUGGGUGGUAUAUUCCAUCUAAAGCUAAAUAUUGGCCAGAGACCGAUAGCGCACAAGUAGAGUGAUCGAAAGAUGAAAAGCACUUUGAAAAGAGAGUCAAAUAGUACGUGAAAUUGUUAAAAGGGAAGCUCUUGCUACCAGACGCGGGCGCCGUUGAUCAUCCUAGGUUCUCCUGGUGCACUCGGCGGUGCUCGGGUCAGCAUCGGUUUGGGUGGCGGGACAAAGGCCUUGGGAAUGUAGCUCCCCCCUCGGGGGGAGUGUUAUAGCCCUCGGUGUAAUGCCGCCUACCCGGACCGAGG